UACAGAGGGUGCGAGCGUUAAUCGGAAUUACUGGGCGUAAAGCGUGCGUAGACGGCUAUCUAAGUCGGGUGUGAAAGCCCCGGGCUCAACCUGGGAAUUGCAUUCGAGACUGAAUAGCUAGGGUACGGUAGAGGGAAGCGGAAUUUCCGGUGUAGCGGUGAAAUGCGUAGAUAUCGGAAGGAACAUCAGUGGCGAAAGCGGCUUCCUGGACCAGUACCGACGUUCAGGCACGAAAGCGUGGGGAGCAA
rnacentral:rRNA from 1 species